AUUGAACGCUGGCGGCAGGCUUAACACAUGCAAGUCGAGCGCGCCGCGGACGGGUGUGAUAUGUCUGGGACUCUGCCUGAUGGAGGGGGAAAACUUCUGGAAACGGUAGAUAAUACCGCAUUCCAUCAGAUAUGCCCAGGUGGGAUUAGCUAGUAGGUGGGGUAAUGGCUCACCUAGGCGACGAUCCCUAGCUGGUCUGAGAGGAUGACCAGCCACACUGGAACUGAGACACGGUCCAGACUCCUACGGGAGGCAGCAGUGGGGAAUAUUGCACAAUGGGCGCAAGCCUGAUGCAGCCAUGCCGCGUGUGUGAAGAAGGCCUUCGGGUUGUAAAGCACUUUCAGCGGGGAGGCGUUACUCGCAGAAGAAGCACCGGCUAACUCCGUGCCAGCAGCCGCGGUAAUAC
rnacentral:rRNA from 1 species